rnacentral:rRNA from 1 species
UACGUAGGCAGCAAGCGUUGUUCGGAAUUACUGGGCGUAAAGAGUGUGUAGGCGGUGCUCUAAGUUUGGUGUGAAAUCUCCCCGGCUCAACUGGGAGGGUGCGCCGAAAACUGGAAUGCUUGAACAUGGGAGAGGAAAGCGGAAUUCCUGGUGUAGCGGUGGAAAUGCGUAGAUAUCAGGAGGAACACCUGCGGUGUAGACGGCUUUCUGGACCAUUGUUGACGCUGAGACACGAAAGCGUGGGUAGCAAACAGG